rnacentral:rRNA from 1 species
AUGCGAAUGAUGCACAAUUACUUUCGCAUCGGAGGAGUAGCCGCCGAUCUACCUUAUGGAUGGAUCGAUAAAUGUUUAGAUUUCUGUGAUUAUUUUUUACGCGGAGUUGUUGAAUAUCAACAACUUAUUACACAGAAUCCAAUUUUUUUAGAGCGAGUUGAAGGAGUAGGUUUUAUUAGCGGAGAAGAAGCAGUAAAUUGGGGCUUAUCGGGACCGAUGUUACGAGCUUCUGGAUUACAAUGGGAUCUUCGUAAAGUAGAUCCUUAUGAGUCUUACAACCAAUUUGAUUGGAAAGUCCAAUGGCAAAAAGAAGGGGAUUCGUUAGCUCGCUAUUUAGUACGAAUUGGUGAAAUGAGGGAAUCCAUCAAAAUAAUUCAACAAGCUGUAGAAAAAAUUCCUGGAGGACCUUAUGAGAAUUUAGAAGUCCAACGCUUUAAGAAAGAAAAGAAUUCUGAAUGGAAUGAUUUUGAGUAUAAAUUUCUUGGUAAAAAACCUUCGCCCAAUUUUGAAUUGUCAAGACAAGAGCUUUAUGUAAGAGUAGAAGCCCCAAAAGGUGAAUUAGGGAUUUAUCUAGUAGGAGAUGAUAGCCUUUUCCCCUGGAGAUGGAAAAUCCGUCCACCCGGGUUUAUUAAUUUGCAAAUUCUUCCUCAGCUAGUUAAAAAAAUGAAAUUGGCUAAUAUCAUGACGAUAUUAGGUAGUAUAGAUAUCAUUAUGGGGGAAGUUGAUCGUUGA